rnacentral:tRNA from 3 species
GUAGAUAUAGUUUAAUACAAAACAUUAGAUUGUGGUUCUAAAAAUGGAAGUUAAAUCCUUCCUAUCCACC